GGAAAGCCCUGCCACGACUCUCGGGACCUCACCGCCCCAGCAAUGGAAGCGGGUGCCUGCGGCCAACGGCCGCGGGUACGGUAAAGCACCGAAGUCUAGGGGCGAUCCGCCGCCAAACCCUCCCCGCACCGGGAGGGCCCAGCUCACAGGCCAGACGGCGAUGGGCGCUCUCGCGCUUAAGAUAUGGUCGAGUGACCCGCCGAGAGGCGGGUGCAACUCAGGAACGUCCGUAGGUGAACCUGCGGAAGGAUCAUU
rnacentral:rRNA from 1 species